UACGUAGGGUGCAAGCGUUAAUCGGAAUUACUGGGCGUAAAGCGUGCGCAGGCGGUUAUGCAAGACAGAGGUGAAAUCCCCGGGCUCAACCUGGGAACUGCCUUUGUGACUGCAUAGCUAGAGUACGGUAGAGGGGGAUGGAAUUCCGCGUGUAGCAGUGAAAUGCGUAGAGAUGCGGAGGAACACCGAUGGCGAAGGCAGCCCCCUGGGCUAGCACUGACGCUCAGGCACGAAAGCGUGGGGAGCAAACAGG
rnacentral:rRNA from 1 species